CGCCUUCAUCCCGCCUCCAAGGCUGUCGGAGAUGGUUUUUUCUUUAUCCAAGACAAGGUCUUCCUCUGUCGCCCAGGCUGGAGUGCAAUGGGCAAGAUCAUGGCUUACUGCAGCCUCGACCUCCAGAGCUCAAGGGAUUCUCCUGCCUCUGUCUCCUGAGUAGCUGGUCUACAGAGACUGGGUCUCGCUCUGUCGCUCAGGAUGGUGUCGAACUCCUGGGUUCCAGCAAUUCUCUCACCUCAGCCUCUGAAAGUGCUGGGAUUACAGGGGUGAGCCACUGUACCCGGUCCCACCGUGCCCUUUUGCAGUCAACCUCUCCUGUCCCAAUAUUUCACCGUCCCUAUAGUUUUUUUUCUCCUAGAACAUUAUAGAAAUAGAGUCAUACAAUAUGCAACCUUUGCGUUGAACUUCUUUCCCUCAUCCUAAUACAUUUGAGAGUUCUCCAUGUGGCUAG
rnacentral:lncRNA from 1 species